rnacentral:misc_RNA from 1 species
GAUGAAGAACGUAGCGAAAUGCGAUAAGUAGUGUGAAUUGCAGAAUUCAGUGAAUCAUCGAAUCUUUGAACGCACAUUGCGCCCCUUGGUAUUCCAUGGGGCAUGCCUGUUCGAGCGUCAAUUGUACCUUCAAGCUUUGCUUGGUGUUGGGUGUUUGUCUCGCCUUUGCGUGUAGACUCGCCUUAAAAUAAUUGGCAGCCGGCGUAUUGAUUUCGGAGCGCAGUACAUCUCGCGCUUUGCACUCAUAACGACAGCGUCCAAAAGUACAUUUUACACUCUUGACCUCGGAUCAGGUAGGGAUACCCGCUGAACUUAAGCAUAUCAAUAAGCGGAGGA